CUCUCCCCCAGUGCAGGGCAGCUGCAGAUGCCUGUGCCCACAGCACAAGGGGCUGGGGAGGGAUUUUGGCUCAGCCCAGUGUGGAUGAGGGUGAGCUGCCUGCUCUGCUUGUCCUACUCGGCUGCAGGGCUUGAAGUGGGGUUUAUGGUAAAAGAACAGAAAUGACUUCCUUGCUCGCGAUGAACAGUGUGAUGUGACCAGCACUGAGCUGAGACUGGUGCUUCCAGAGGUCCAGGGAGGUGCUGUGCAGAGUAACACACAUUGUGAGAUGCCUCAAUAAUUGCACAGGAGCUGUGGGUUGUGCCUGUGCUAUGUCUGAUAGUCACCAAAGGCUGGAUCCUGUGAGCACCGAAGCGAAGGU